rnacentral:rRNA from 1 species
GACGAACGCUGGCGGCGUGCUUAACACAUGCAAGUCGAACGAAGUGGGAACGGGUGAGUAAUACGUGAGUAACCUCCCUCCUUUUUGGGAUAAGCCUUGGAAACGGGGUCUAAACCGGAUUGAUGGGCUCGCGUCGUAUCAGCUUGUUGGUGGGGUGAUGGCCUACCAAGGCGGUGACGGGUAGCCGGCCUGAGAGGGUGAACGGGCACAUUGGGACUUGGUAACGGGCCAGACUCCCUCGGGGGGCAGCAGGAGGGAAACAUCGGAAAUGGAGGGAAGUCUGACUGAGCAACGCCGGGUGAGUGAAGAAGGGUUUCGGAUCGUAAAGCCAUGUUGUUAGAGAAGCGGUAACUAACCAGAAAGCGACGGCUAACUACGUGCCAGCAGCCGCGGUAAUAC